UAAGGAAUAUUGGUCAAUGGAGGCAACUCUGAACCAGCCAUGCCGCGUGCAGGAAGACGGCCCUCUGGGUUGUAAACUGCUUUUGUACGGGAAUAAACCUCCGAUCGUGAUCGGAGCUGAAUGUACCGUAAGAAUAAGGAUCGGCUAACUCCGUGCCAGCAGCCGCGGUAAUACGGAGGAUCCAAGCGUUAUCCGGAUUUAUUGGGUUUAAAGGGUGCGUAGGCGGCCUGUUAAGUCAGAGGUGAAAGACGGUAGCUCAACUAUCGCAGUGCCUUUGAUACUGAUGGGCUUGAAUGGACUAGAGGUAGGCGGAAUGUGACAAGUAGCGGUGAAAUGCAUAGAUAUGUCACAGAACACCGAUUGCGAAGGCAGCUUACUAUGGUCCUAUUGACGCUGAGGCACGAAAGCGUGGGGAUCGAACAGGAUUAGAUACCCUGGUA
rnacentral:rRNA from 1 species